rnacentral:rRNA from 1 species
UGCCAGCAGCCGCGGUAAUUCCAGCUCCAAUAGCGUAUAUUAAAGUUGUUGCAGUUAAAAAGCUCGUAGUUGGAUCUGGGGUUCGGGUCGGCGGUUUGCCGCUUCGGCGGCUACUGCCGUGCUCGACUCUUACUAGCCGGUGCGUCUUGCGGUGCUCUUCAUCGAGUGCCGUAGGAGCCUGGCAUGUUUACUUUGAAAAAAUUAGAGUGCUCAAAGCAGGCGAUUCCGCCUGAAUAGUGUUGCAUGGAAUAAUGGAAUAGGACCUCGGUUCUAUUUUGUUGGUUUUCGGAACUUGAGGUAAUGAUUAAGAGGGACGGUCGGGGGCAUUCGUAUUUCGGUGUUAGAGGUGAAAUUCUUGGAUCGCUGAAAGACGGACAAAUGCGAAAGCAUCUGCCAAGAACGUCUCCAUUAAUCAAGAACGAAAGUCAGAGGUUCGAAGACGAUCAGACACCGUCCUAGUUCUGACCAUAAACGAUGCCAACUAGCGAUCCGCAGUGGUUGCUAUAAACGGACUCUGCGAGCAGCUUCCGGGAAACCAAAGUGUUUGGGUUCCGGGGGAAGUGUGGUUGCAAAGCUGAAACUUAAAGGAAUUGACGGAAGGGCACCACCAGGAGUGGAGCCUGCGGCUUAAUUUGACCCAACACGGGGAAACUCACCCGGUCCGGACACUGUAAGGAUUGACAGAUCGAGAGCUCUUUCUUGAUUCGGUGGAUGGUGGUGCAUGGCCGUUCUUAGUUGGUGGAGUGAUUUGUCUGGUUAAUUCCGAUAACGAACGAGACUCUAGCCUGCUAACUAGUUGCGCCGUGUUCAUACGCGGCUGUAGACUUCUUAGAGGGACAGGUGGCGUUUAGCCACACGAAAUUGAGCAAUAACAGGUCUGUGAUGCCCUUAGAUGUCCGGGGCCGCACGCGCGCUACACUGAAGGAGUCAGCGUGUGCUAUCCGGGCUCGGAAGAGUUCGGUAACCCGUUGAAACUCCUUCGUGCUUGGGAUUGUGGCUUGUAAUUAUCGCGCAUGAACGAGGAAUUCCCAGUAAGUGCAAGUCAUCAGCUUGCGCUGACUACGUCCCUGCCCUUUGUACACACCGCCCGUCGCUACUACCGAUUGAAUGGUUUAGCAAGGUGCUCGGAUUGGUCUCGAUCUUGUACGAAAGUGCGGGAUCUGUGGCC